GAUGAACGCUGGCGGCGUGCCUAAUACAUGCAAGUCGAGCGAACGGACGAGAAGCUUGCUUCUCUGAUGUUAGCGGCGGACGGGUGAGUAACACGUGGAUAACCUACCUAUAAGACUGGGGUAACUUCGGGAAACCGGAGCUAAUACCGGAUAAUAUUUUGAACCGCAUGGUUCAAAAGUGAAAGACGGUCUUGCUGUCACUUAUAGAUGGAUCCGCGCUGCAUUAGCUAGUAGGUAAGGUAACGGCUUACCAAGGCAACGAUGCAUAGCCGACCUGAGAGGGUGAUCGGCCACACUGGAACUGAGACACGGUCCAGACUCCUACGGGAGGCAGCAGUAGGGAAUCUUCCGCAAUGGGCGAAAGCCUGACGGAGCAACGCCGCGUGAGUGAUGAAGGUCUUCGGAUCGUAAAACUCUGUUAUUAGGGAAGAACAUAUGUGUAAGUAACUGUGCACAUCUUGACGGUACCUAAUCAGAAAGCCACGGCUAACUACGUG
rnacentral:rRNA from 1 species